AUACUUCAGUGGGUAGAGGGGUGAGCUGUAACUCACAGGUCGCUGGUUCAAAUCCGGCU
rnacentral:tRNA from 1 species